UUAAACAGAGAGGGGGGGGGAGAGAGAGGUGUUUAGCGAAUCACGCCUUUUGUCUUCUAUAUCCGAUGGCGACGUGUAGCGACGAAGAAACCAGAAACCUAGUCCGGUCGCCACACCCAUCGUUGCCCUCCUCGCACCUCUUAUGCCCCUGCCGCCGUGCCGGCCUCCUCCUCGAAGAAGCGCUUCCCUGUCGCCGAGGCGUCGGCCCUCGAUUCCGGAGUGGAAUCCAGUGAUUAGCGGCGAUGGUCGAGAGGAGGAGGAGGUGAGGCCGGUGGUGUUGAAUGACAGAGAGUAUGCGGAUGGGAUCGGGAGAAUCGAGGAUCAGGGAAUCAGAGGUGGUGUUCCGGCCAAGUUCUUGUACCGGGAAUCGGCGCCGGCGUACUGGAGGGCCAAGGAGAAAAGAACAUGCUUUGUUGCUGUUCUAUGAUUUUUGCAGCUAUUUGUUGCUGUUCCAUCCCACAUAUUCAAGUUUUGGACAUUUCUGGAAAUAAUGUUUUAGCUUCUAUCCUUCUACAUCAAGGUUGAGGGUUGGCAUAUGGCAGAAGGUACCAUCUUCUUACUCUUGUAAAACAAUGACAAAUGAAAACUUGUUUAAUAUAAGGAUGGUCAGGUUGGUUGUACCAAGACAUGGCUAGGUCAAGUUUUGGUCUAUGUUGGCUGGCACAGGUGGCAUGCCAGUUGGCACGGCAUGGUAUGUUAUGCACCAUGUAUAACAGUCCUUGGUGGGUUUAGUCUUGGUUUUGAAGUGUUUCCUGUGAUGACAUAUACCACACGAGAUUAAUCUGACAUGAUGCAAUGGUGCAUGCCAAAUACCUGUGCCCUUAUAACCCAAGUACAUGGCCAUUCGGCUGGCAUGGGCUCCACAUGGAUUGGCACAAUCAGUACCAUCACACCACCUAGCCCAUGAAGUUCUUGUGCAUCAUGAGCAUGGGACCCUGCAUUUGCAACACAGCUAAUAUGUUUUCUACUCUGCAUCUUCAUUCUAACACUUAUGUGUAUUAUAUAGAUCCAUGCAGCAUUGGUAGUACUGCCUUGCGUAUGUUGAUAAUAUAUGAUUGUGGCAGGUUGAGAGAGAGCAGCAGAUUUUGAAGACCUCGAAGCCUGAUAGUGAUCCACUGCUUUGCACUUUCUAUUUGUGCAUUCUUUAUCAUUCCUUUCUUGCUUUCUUUUCUUUUUUAUUUCAGGGUGAAAAAACAUAAAUGAUGAAUUAGAUUAGCUGUAUAUGGGGGCAUUUGGUUGCCUAUAACCAUAAAUGACAACAUGUAGUGAUUAUAAGCAAAAAACAAAUACCUAUAGGUUGUAGUUGCAACUGCAAUCCAAUCCAGAAGUGUGACAUGUGACGUUUUAGAUUGUGAGUUUAUUUGCAGUAUGUAAGGGUUCAAUUAUAUGUACACGUGGUACAAAUGGCUUAAUUGCAAGUAAUCAAAUAUUUGUGAGUAAGAUGCUUGUCGCGAAAGGACUUACAAACAGACUAAUUGCAGGCAACCAAAUUUCUCCACUUUUUAUGCUACUUCGGCCCAGUACGGACUGUUCUUCAAGUUCCUUUUUUUAUGAUGUGAUAGUAGUGUAUAAAUCCUUUGUUGGACUUGGAGGUUACAUGAAUCCUUCUCUUUUUCUAUAGAAAGGCAUCUAUUGAAUUGCCUCUUUUGCCUGAUCAAAGAUGUGUUUCUUUUUCCUAUUGCUUGGAUAAGGAUACAUUUCCCCUAGAUGCUACAUUACCCUUUAUUUUGUGGCAAAUUCCCCUGGCCAUACUGACAAAAUGCUUCCAGGAUAAAUUCAGAAAUUCCAUGGUAUGUUUACUUUCAUUGUUCACAUCAACUAUUUCUGCUUUGAGGAAACGGCAUUUUCUCCAUCUUUGUGCCCUUUAUAAUAACAGACGAAACAUAAAUCUGAUGGCUUUCACCUUUAUUGAAAU